rnacentral:rRNA from 1 species
GACAGAGGUGCCGAGCGUUAGGCGGAAUCACUGGGCUUAAAGCGCGCGCAGGCGGCUCGGCAAGCAUGGCGUGAAAGCCCCCGGCUCAACCGGGGAGAGUCGUCGUGGACUGCCGAGCUUGAGGGCAGAGGGGGGUGGAAUUCCGCGUGUAGCAGUGAAAUGCGUAGAGAUGCGGAGGAACACCGAUGGCGAAGGCAGCCCCCUGGGCUGACACUGACGCUCAGGCACGAAAGCGUGGGGAGCAAACAGG